rnacentral:lncRNA from 1 species
CCUGUCUCCUGCAGGAGACGUCACUUCUUGAUGUCCCCGACUUGUAUCAGAACUAGUUAGAUGAGAACAGUCAUGGUCUCAGCCAUAGUAGCAUCUCAAACUUCCCACAGCCUGCUCUCAAUACCACAUAUGGGCUGUCCUACCCUGGGCCUCCCCAUCUCAGUUAAUGCUGCUACCAUGUGCUUAGCCCACACGACUGGAAGUUACAGCCUUGACUGCUUUCUCCCCUUCAUACCCAACAUCCAGUCCUUUAGCAAAUCCUAUUACCAGUUCUCAAUCUCCAUUUUCAUCCUGCCAUCCUCAAUGCCACCACUUUAACCAGGUUCCUCCCAUCUCUUACCUGGAUAACCGGAAUCUUCCUAACUGAUAACCCCUACUUCUUGCUGCUGGUAAUCCGUUUCAGACAGCUGCCAGUGAUUAACACAAACACUCACAAGCUUCGAUUGCUGAUGCCUUCGCAUCCUCCUUGGGAUAAAUCUCCAUUUCAUCAUUAACAAGGUCCCACAGAAUCUAGCUCCUGUCGAUCUGUGUCCCCAUCUAACCACUGCCACUACCCCACCUGCUCAUUUUGUAUUUCAGCCGCAUUCUUUCUGUCUCAAACCCAUUCCUACCUCAGAACAUUUACACUGGCUGUUCCUUCCACUUGGGGUGUGUGCAAUUUUUGUACAGACUCCGUUAGUUCAGGCACGUGCUCAGAUGUCACUUCUCACAGGCCUUCCCUGACUCCUGAACCCCAAGUUGCCAGUGAGCGCCAUACUGAAUUCAGGCACAGGGCAUGAGUUAUAUCAGAUGGUUGGAGCAUUACUGUACUGGGGCAUGAAGUUCUCCAAGCUUGUUUUCAGUGCUUUAUCCCAGGAGGACUAGAAAGCCUCAGGCAUGUGACAGCCUUAUAGCCGAGGGAUGGAUCCUUCUGGAGUCUUUCAAAAGAAACUACAACCUAGGCAGACAGCAUGUGUCAGAGCAGACACUUUUCCUGAUAGAAGCCCCUAGAUGCAUUUUUUAUUGGCUUGGAUCUCUGAGACUUGCUUAGAUCAAAGCACUUUUAAGACCUAAGUUAGAGCAAGAACAGUUGGGUUUAGAAAUCAGCCCCUAGGACAGGUCCACUGUCCCUCUAGCCCAAUCUUGGGUCUAGUAGGGACUUCAAGGAAGUAUUCAGUCUCUCCUGGACGACCACCAUGAUGCCAAUGCAAGUUCUGAUUACUAAGCCACCCACGCUCCAACUUCCUACAAGUUUCCUUCAUCCAUGACUGAGAUUCUCUCCCCAGAGCCCCCAAUUGCCACACAGCGAUAGGCAAAAGCCUUCAGGGCUGUGACAGUGUCACAAAGCUGGCCCACCUGAUACAUCUGGCUGUUUACAUAAGGCCACGGAGGGCAAUCAAAGCCAUUAGUUGAUGGGAACCCAACAUUCUGGAGUUGUACUAGUUAUAAGGUGUUGGGCACAAGGUCACAGCCAUGGGAACUGGGUGAAACAAGACGUUGGACUGAAGUCAAAGGUUCCUUAGGGGAGGAAGAGGGGGCACUGGGGUUGGGAGGAGAAGGGGGUAACUGAGUAGGCAGGGGUGUGUAGGAGAAACAGCCCGAUUCCCACAGCAGAAUCUCUUGGGGCACAAUGAGUGACUCAUGAGAAAUCACUCCUUGUUUCACGUAUGAAGAUGGUCGAGGCAUGAUGAAUGCUCAGAUCAAGAUGUUGGUAGUCACAGCUACCAUCUACCCAGGUAUUAACAGAUGUGUGGAAUUCAGAAGGACGCCAAGGAGAUAGUUCUGAUGACUCCAACAAGCUGGGCUAAACUAAGUUCAGACUUUGCAGUUGUAGGUUAUGGGACCCUGGGCAAGUGGUUUCAUCCCCCAAAGUAUUUCUCAUUUAAAGAGGAUGAUGACAGUCCCUAGUAAUGGGGUAAUAAUGAUCCACUGAGAAUGCCAUCCCAAUGGGGCACAUCUAGGUUUUGUGGAGAUUAAGUUUCUAAGACAAACAAGACUAAAUUUGGACUACAGAGCCCAGUUUCAGCUUCAACUUCAUGAUAAACUUGUUAAUUCAGAGGCAGGUCAGUACUUAGUACAUACUAAUCGCUCAUCACGUGGGAGCUGUUGUUACCAGCAGUCUGAUCAGGAAAGAAUCAUCCUAGAGCUGUGAAGUGACUUGCUAUGCUACCACCGAUAAACACAAGUAGUGGGGCUGACACCCAAUGGGUCCUGUGAACCCCCAGUUCACACCCAUGUGGAUCAUUGAUCAGAGGAUGUAGGUGAUGGUCGAAGGGACCCCAGGCCACACAUCUGUCCUCACAUCUGUUUCAGCACCCGAGUCAGUCUUGGUUUCCAAAGUUAGAGGCCCUUUAAGGGGGAAGACAGGAUUAUCGAAGGGCAACUCUUGGUCGAGAGUUGAGUAUAAGUUGAUUCAGUUAUAGGAGCCACGCAUUCAUGGGGACCAUCUGACUUCCUAUAUAUGUAAUUGUUCUCUCGAAGGAGGUUCCCCCAUAACUGCCCCCCAGUCACACAUCAUAGCUUCACUCUCAUCUACAUGAGACUUCAGCUCCAUCUCAUUCUAAGUAAUCCGCGGUUCUGGGUUUGUGAGACAGACCACCCACUUAGCCCAGUUACUCUUUUCACACCAAGCCGUGUCAUCUGUUAGCAAUAAGCCUUGGUCAUCCGUGGGUCCUGUGUCUACCCAGUCUGGUCAGUGUGGCCAGGGUCAUGAGACACACCAUAAGGUUCCCAGCCCUUAAGUUAGGGCUGGGUAACGAUUGCACAGCUAGAAGUCCCACUAGGGCCAAAAUAUACCAGGGCCUCGGCUCAAUGAGUUGGAGCCCUAGGAAGCAGUGUAGGCCAAUAGCAUGUCAUUUGAGGGAUCAUAGACUAUGAACGUGGACCCUCCUGAGGGCCACGCAGAAGAGACAAAGGUUUGGAUUUGCUUUAUAACCCGUUCUAGUUGUGGGAAGGACAAAGGUAACUGGGCGCCAAGAUCCACGAACACCUCCCCCUACCCUCAUGGGUCAGUGACCACCAGCCUUAGGCCUGAAGCUUAACAUCCUCAGGGCGCUAUUUAGAAGAUGUCAUACCAGUCAAGUGCCAGCCGUUGUAUACAGAUUACUCCAGCUAACAGGGCCAUCCCUGCUCUUAAGGAACUCACAGUCCAGUGGGGGAGAAGGAAUGGUGUUAGGGACAGGAGGCGAGUGAGCACACUGCUUACCCUUUAGCCUGUGCAAGUUCCAGCUGCGGCCAAGAUGGCCGGUUCUAGGCAGGGACAGCAUGUUGCCUCAAAGCACAGCUUUGUUUUCUGCCCAAAGGCGCAUCCCUCAUCACAGAUGCAAGUAUGUACCU